rnacentral:rRNA from 1 species
AACGAACGCUGGCGGCGGGCCUCAUACAUGCAAGUCGAGCGCGAAAGUCCGCAAGGAUGAGUAAAGCGGCGCACGGGUGAGUAACACGUGGGUAAUCUACCUUUUGGAUUGGAAUAACCUGUCGAAAGACGGGCUAAUGCCGAGUAAGCUUUCUUGAACGUAAAGUUCGAGCAAGGAAAGAUGGCGCAAGCUAUCGCCGAUAGAUGAGCCUGCGUCCCAUUAGUUAGUUGGUGGGGUAAUGGCUUACCAAGACAAUGAUGGGUAGCUGGUCUGAGAGGACGACCAGCCUCACUGGAACUGAGACACGGUCCAGACACCUACGGGUGGCAGCAGUCGAGAAUUUUUCUCAAUGGGGGAAACCCGUGAAGGAGCGACGCCGCGUGGGGGAGUGACGGAUCUAGGUCUGUAAACUCCUUUUUCUAUGGAAAGACUUAGGACGGUACCAUGAGAAUAAGG